ACGCCCGGGGUCUGAGCAGGGACGGGCGCCAACGGGGUCCUCGGGGAGGAGGCGGAGGAAGGAGCCGAGGAAGCGCGCCUCAGGGGGAGCAGAAGCAGCGCCUUGCGCAUGAAAGCCUGCCGAGUCGCACGCUUCGGAGUCCACGCCCGCGUCCCCACUGACCCGCUCCCAAUCCACCAAAGGAAGUGUCGUCGAGGUCCGUGUUGUGGGUUGGGGUGGAGUGGGGUUGCCUCCCGGGAGGAGUGGGCUGGCGAGGCCUGACUCCGCCAAGGCGUGGGGAGGGGAGACUGAGUUGGUCCCACCUCCCCUGCCUUUGCAGCGGCACCAAAAGACACCCCACGCCGGCCACUGGCUCCCUCCCCGUCUCUCCAAGGAGCGGCCAGGAGCGGUCUGUCUGUGCGCCUGUCCGCCUGGCGGGGAAGCCCGUCGUGGCCCCUUCGCGGAGAGGCCCUGCUUGAACAGGUGGGAGCCCAGCGGGACCGAGGCGCCCAGGGACGGACGGCGAAGGGCGGCUGCAAAGCGAAACCAGCGGGGGAGCGACGUCCAGGCGCGAAGCCGGGCCAAGGCAGCGCUAGACCUUGGCGUCCCCGUCCCGCCCCGCCAGGCACAGCUGCCAGGACGAGAGCGCCUCACGCCAAAGUCUGGCGCAGGCUCCGCGGGCGUGUUUCCCUCCUAAGUUCGCCUCGCCUGCUGCCCAAGCGCGGCGCGAUGGAGCUGACCUUGGCUGCGGCGAGUCCAGCAUGAGGAGCGAGCGGGCCCCGUCUCCUCUGGGCGGACCAUGAUCCAUGCUUUUUUAAGGAAUGUCUUUUGGAUUGUGCCACUGUUCCUAGUUCUGGUGUCAGAUGCUUCAUCUCCUUGCAUGGACGAUAUCCGAUCACAGUACGAUAAUAUGUUAAGCAUCGAUAUUACAAAUCUGGAGGAUAUUCUUCAAAACACCUCAGACUUCAGAGGACGUUCCUGCAAUUCAACUAAGGAGAAUACAACUGGACAAAAUGCUGCUGUGUGUACGUGCUGCUGCAAGUCAAAUACGACAAAAGCACUAAGUUGUAUGGCACGGUGUCUAAAAAAGAUUUCUGAGACAUGUAUCACCAGUAGAUCUCAGCUACAACAUAGGAUGAGCUUGGUUUCAAACUGGACACUGAAGUUAUUAUUACAUCAGGAAUGUAAUACCACGGUUGUUAAAAAAACACAAAAAGGCAAGUGUUGUCGUUGCAGAGACUUCUACCAAACAUCUGACAUGAUAAUCUACACAAAAAAACUUUUUUCAGACUUUAACAAGUGCUGGAUACACUUUAUUCGAACAAAUUGAAGAUUGCUACAAAAGGACUACAAAGCUCUUAUUUUUCAGAGCAGAUCAUUUUUCUACUUAAAAUGUAUGCAUUGCUUAUGUAAACUUUGGUACAAAAGCUCUGAUACAUUUCUGUUCUUGAGAAGGCAGUAAAAGAAAAUGUUGGAAGAAUGUAUGUUGAAUCCCCCAUUAUCUCAACAGGAAUGGAAACACUGAUGGACAGAUGAAAGCACUGAGCUAUAAUCUGCAUUUCAUUUUUUUAGGAUGUGUGUGAGUCUUUCAAAAUUUGUCUUGAGAUCUUGUUCUGUGGUUAUGAAAUCAUGAGCUGGACUCAGGAUUGCAUAACAUUUUCAAUUCAUGUUUAUGGUCAUUAAUGACUGAAUGUGACCCAUCCCAGUCUACCUUUUCAGCAGGCCAUUGCCCCAACUGGUUUCAGAGGCGGUAUGGAUUAAGGUGUAGGGAAUGACCCGUGUUCUUCUGGUCAUGGGGCACAUUCACAGUAAUAGUAGCAGGACUACAAGAGAUCUCUCCAGCUGCCUCUUCUCAAUGUGCCCUGCAGCUGGAAGGGCACUCUGCAGAUACCAUUUCCCACUGUCUCAAAUAGUGCCUUCCAAAUGCUUUAGUCUGAGUGCCACUAGACUGAAAAGGUGCAGGAGGGUUGGUGAGAGGAAGGAGAAAGAGUGGUGGCAGCAUUAGACAAAAGUCUGUCAUUGUAGGGUUUUUUUUUUGAGGGGGGAGGAGGGAAGCAACACCUCAAAAGAAAAUGACUUACCUUAAAAAGAUUAAAUGUCUAUAUAAUUGUUCUUCUUAAAAAGCAACCCUUUAUUAAUGUUUUUCUUUGAAUUCAAUUUUGCUUGUAAUGGCCAAGAACGUACAUCACAGAUGAAACUAUGGAUGUGUAUUGUCACCAGAUCCAACUGUAUAAACCUUAUGCUAAUAGCCAGCAGCCAUACUCAAUGGUGGUCAGUUCUUCUGGUUGCUUGGAUGCAACAAAAUGUUUCCAUUCCCCUCCAACCUGUAAUCUGUGGUGGGAUGAGAAGUUGUGGCAGGGCUUCUCUUUCUGAUUGUCACACCACAGAUCACUGGUGGGAGGGGGCUAGAAAUGUCAUUCUUCAGCACACCUGUUGCCAGAAAACAUACCAGUAUUGCUUUGUAUGGCCUAACAACUAUCUUUGGGGGCAGAUUUUGAGAGGCAUUUGGGAUUAUGGCAAUAGUGGGAAGAGGUUUAGUCUGUGCAUUUUAAUGUCUGAACAGGAUGACAGCCACUUACCUAAAUACUCAUUUAGGACAGUAGGCAGGCUAGGAAGCAAACAAUGAUUUAAGGGGAAAAUGGCAAUUUAAGGAAAAAUAGUGAAAAGGCAGUACAGAUAGCGUCUAGAAUUAGGACAAUGAAUCUGAAAGUACUAUUCCUUUUUAUGCUGGAAAUCAGAAAAAUUAUUGCUGGAGUACCGAGGAAUUUCUCAUGUGUGGAGAUGUCUUCUUGAGUGAAUGCCAUUUAAUGCAACAAAGCCAUGUAACUUAAUAUAACAAAGCAUUAUUUUUAUAUAAUAGUAUUGCCAUUGUACAACUAAAAUGUUUAUUUAAGAAAUGCUUUAUAGUUUCCCAUAACUCUUCAAUGAUAUACAGUUCUAAUUAUUCUUAAGCAUCCAUUACAUUGUGUUCUACAGAUUAGUUUUUUAAAAAUAAAUAUUCGUCUUGGUGGGUUCUACUCCUAGCUAUGUGCCAAAACAGUGACUGAGCAGAAGUGUCUGUGUCAAGGGAGAAGAUUGCCAAUUGAUCUUCGAAAACACAAUGGCAAAUAUAACCAAUGUCUCAUCCUCAAAGAUCAAGCAAAAUACAUUUAGGGAUUCACGUAUACAAUGCUAACAAACCAUUACUGUAAGAAUAUCCUAGUCCUGUUUCAUAGCAGGACUUAUUUCUGAUAUAUUCAGUAUCUCUAUUAACACGUAGAUUUUCCCUUCUGUUCCCCAAAAUAUUGUUUUUCAAACUUCAAAUGAUUAUUGUUUACCCCUUAAUUCAAGAUAAUGGUCCAGUUUUGCAUGCCAACAUUGAAAUAUAGAAAUAGUCCUAUGUAUGGACUUUGAAAAAAAAUCAACAAAAUACAGAGGUUUUUAUUGUGACUUAUAUUUGGAAAUUAAAUAACACACUCAAUUGGGAAGUGUUAGCAAGAGUUUUCUGUUGUGUGUAUAUGUGCCUUCAAGUCAGCUACCAACUUAUGGUGAGCUCAUUAAUUUCAUAGGGUUUUUUUUAAGUCAAAGAAUACUCAGAGGUAGUUUUGUCAAUUCCUUCUUUUCAAAAUAUAGGCUACAUACAGCACCUGGUAUUUAUUGGUGGUCUCCCAUCCAAGUACUUUCCAAGGCUGACCUGGCAUUGCUUCCAAGGUCAGAAGGGAUCUUGAGCCUUUAGGGUGGACCUAACAAAUUUAGGAAAGGAUAAGGCUUAUCUGCUCUCAUUUCACUGGCUCCUGUCACAACUGGAAUGCUUGGUUGGUUAUUGUUGUACUUUUAAUUUCUAACUGGCUGGAAAACUGAAGAGUUAAAAUUAUUUCCUUUCCUUGUAUGACCCGACCCAAAAUCUAAGAUCUGCUUUAGAUUUUGGAUCCUGUGACUUAGUAGUGGCCAAGAAAAGAAAAUGUAUAGUGAUGGCAGUCCAUUUACUGAAAACUCUUUUUAAUUUCUGGCAGAUUUGGAAAACGUUAAUAUCAUUGUCCCCAGUACCUCCAAAGAUGUUGAGCUAUCACUGUCAGUGUCUUUUAAAGUUUAGUUCAAAAAAAAAUGGCAUGAGAUUUGGAAAGGCUGUACUAUCACUUAUUGUUAGGUGAUAGAAAAAAGGAAUUCGUAUACAGUAGAGUCUCACUUAUCCAACAUAAACGGGCCGGCAGAACGUUGGAUAAGCGAAUAUGUUGGAUAAGGAGAGAUUAAGAAAAAAGCCUAUUAAACAUCAAAAUAGGUUAUGAUUUUACAAAUUAAGCACCAAAACAUCACGUUAUAAACAAAUUUGACAGAAAAAGUAGUUCAUUCCACAUUAAUGCUAUGUAGUAAUUACUGUAUUUACGAACUGAGUACCAAAAUAUCACAAUGCAUUGAAAAUAUUGACUACAAAAAUGCGUUGGAUAAUCCAGACCGUUGGAUAAGUGAGUGUUGGAUAAGUGAGCCUCUACUGUGUGUGUGUGUGUGUGUGUGUGUGUGUGUGUGUGUGUGUAUUCUGCCCACUUGUAGGACUGAGUUAAUAACAAAACCACUAGACUGAAUGCCCCCAAAUUUGGCCACAAUACACCAACACAUCCAAUGUAUGUCCUUCACUCACUCCCCAAAAUGGAUUGGCCUAUAUCUAUUUUUCACGUUUCCCCCCCCCCUCCCUUUUCAGUCGUAAUGUUACACUUUCUUCUUUUACUCUCCGCAUUUACCCUGAGGGGGGGUUACUGUAUUUACAGCUGACAGGGGAGCCCGGCGCAUGGAGGAGAGCAGGUAGAGAGAGAGCCAGCUUCCAGGGCUGUUCUUGGAGGGGCUUCCCUCACUCCUCGCACACACAGGACUUCCAAUUAAAAAGCGGGGGAGGGGGGGGGAGGAGGAUGAGACAUUCUUCCCCUGGCUGCCAGUCAGAAGGGUAGGCCUGUCCCCUUUAGGCUGUGUAGAAGGGGCCUCAUAUAAUCCAGUUCUAAGAAGAUAAUAUAAGAUUAUAAAUAUAUAAUAAUUACUGUGGUAUAAUACCCUGUUUCCCUGAAAAUAAGACAGUGUCUUAUAUUCAUUUUUUGCUCCCAAAGAUGUGCUAGGUCUUAUUUUCAGGAGAUGACUUAUUUUUCCAUGAAGAAGAAUUUACAUUUAUUGUUGAACAAAAAAUGAACAUUCAUUAUAUACUGUGCAGUAGUUGUCAUCACAAACCAGCAAAACCAGGCAAACUAUGAACCCUAUCCGGAAUUUCUUGUUACUACCAUUAUUUCCAUGUACAACAAUCUAUGGUACAUACAUUUACCCAUCCUUCAUCCUCUGGUGUUCUGUUCAGCGGGCAUGCUUCCAAACACAAACUUUGCUUUGUCUUAUUUUCGGGGGAUGUCUUAUUUUCGGGGAAACAGGGUAAUACAGAACAAUGUAAUCUCUAAAAUCAGGACAGUGACUAAAGAACAACACUCUGAAAACGGGAAUUCCAGACAGGAAAAAUUCAGAGCCAGUUAACACCUCCCAACAAAGGAUUCCCCCAGGGAGGAAUCUGCCAGGCUAUGAAGCCACAAGGCCAUUAAAUUCUAAUCAAGGUGACUAUUUGCAGCAUUCAGUCUUGCCUCCAACAGACUAGAGUUCUUUCUCCUAUACUGGACAAUAUUCCACAGGUAUAUAAACCACAUUUGCCUGGCUGCGUCCUACCUAGGGAAAUCCAUUGAAAAUGAACAAAACCUGGCUCCCAACAUUAAAAAGCUCUAAAACCAGGACAGUAAAUAAAGAACACCACUCUGAAAACUGGAAUACGCUACUGGAGAGGUUUGAGACGACUGACUCACCAUAGUGGGAGUUGAAGUUUACCCUACCACCAAAGACCACACUGAACCCCAGCAGUGCUGCAUCUAGACCAAACUUGCUCAACGUAACAGACUUUAAGUACUGAUGGAGUUUGUAGACGUUAACCAGGCAUGAUGUGAGUUGCAGUUCACACACAACCUUAUGCAUACUUUACAUAUAUACAUAUAUAUAAGCAUAUAACAUAUAUUAAAUACCACCACUUUUUUCAAAACCAGACUACGCCACUGCAACAUGUUACCGGGCACUGCCAGUAUUCUAUAAGUUUUUAAAAGGCAAUCAGUUACUUCAUUUAUUAUUCUUAUAACUUUCUUUAGACUGCUUCUCUUAACAGUGCUAUUUUGUGUUGAUGAUUUUGUGCUUAGCCCAUUUUGGUUAUUUAAUAUAAAAUGCAUAUUUUGAAUAAAUAUAUGCAACAUUUUGAAGGUUAGUUGACAUUUUUCUUAUCUAGGCUUAUGGUAAUUGUGGAGGCAUUCAGGCUAUCUAUAUUAACUUCCACAAAGAGCAAAUAAGACUGCAGGGCUUGAAAGCCAAUGUCAUAUUGUAAUAUGACAUCAAGCAUAAUUAAUCACUAUAUAACAUGAAGAAGAAACAAAGUUUCUGUAUGCAACAAGUUACUUUAUUUUAAACAAAUAACUAGAUAAUAUACAUGAAACCGCUGGGUGAGGUCAUCCGGAGUUUUGGAGUGCGGUGCCAUCUCUACGCGGAUGACACCCAACUCUACUACUCCUUUCCACCUAAUUCCAAGGAAGCCCCUCGGAUACUGGACCAGUGUCUGGCCGCUGUAUUGGCCUGGAUGAGGGCGAACAAGCUGAAACUCAAUCCUGACAAGACAGAGGUCCUCCAGGUCAGUCGUACGUCUGAUCGGGGUAUUGGGUGGCAACCUGUGCUUGACGGGGUCGCACUCCCCCUGAAGGCGCAGGUCCGCAGCUUGGGGGUCCUCCUGGACUCUGCGCUGACACUUGAGGCCCAGGUGUCGGCCGUGGCUGGGAGGGCCUUUGCACAACUAAAACUUGUGCGCCAGCUGCAACCAUACCUCAAGAAGUCAGAUCUGACCAUGGUGGUCCAUGCCUUAGUUACCUCUAGACUGGAUUACUGCAAUGCACUCUACGUGGGACUGCCUUUGAAGACGGCUCGGAAACUACAACUAGUACAACGAUCGGCAGCCAGGUUUCUAACUGGGGCAGAUUACAGGGCGCGCUCAACGCUGCUGUUUAAAGAGCUCCACUGGCUGCCAUUUAUUUUCCGAGCCCAAUUCAAGGUGCAGGUUAUCAUCUACAAAGCCCUAAACGGUUUGGGACCCACCUACCUUCGAGACCGCCUUAGUUACCUCUAAGUUCCCCCCUGUGAACCCGCACGACCUCUUCGCUCGUCGGGGGAGGCCCUCCUCUCGCUUCCACCAACUUCGCAGUUGCGGUUGGUGGGGACGAGGGAGAGGGCCUUCUCCGCCGUGGCCCCCCCGGCUGUGGAACUCGCUCCCCAGGGAGAUUAGGCAGGCCCCUACCCUACUUUCUUUCAGGAAGAGCCUGAAAACUUGGCUAUUCCAGAAGGCCUUCGUUGACUGAUCCUUGUGGGAUCAUGUUAUUUACCUAUUAAGCAGUAGACCCUCUGGAUUGUUUUUAGGAUUCAUGCAGCACCUUAAGUAUUACACCUGCUGUAUAAUUAUCCCUCCCUGAUAACUUGAUAUUGCUUUGCACCUUGGCCUGGAUCUUUUGACCCAAAUCGGGAUUUUAAUAUUAUUGUGUAUAUUGACUUUUAUGACUGUUUUUAAUCAUGAUGAAGUUUUACUGCUCGGUUUAAUGUUUUAUCUGACUUGUGCUGUCGUGUCUGGGCAUGGCCCCAUGUAAGCCGCCCCGAGUCCCUCCGGGGAGAUGGGGCGGGAUAUAAGAAUAAAAUUAUUAUUAUUAUUAUUAUAAUAUAUCAAGCAUUUACAGACUGUAAUUAAAUGAAUCCUUUGGAGGUGGGGGACAACUUAAGUAAAGAGUAAAGUAAUAGAUAUUACUCCUGCUAACUACCAGGAAGCAAAACGAAGGAUACAAUAUACUGAAGGUUCAACAAGAAAUCUUUAUUGUAUAAGUAAUAAAACAACUGAAGGAAAAACCAAUACUAAUAUACUGGAUCUUUGGUGAAUGAAGAUGCUGUGAAAUCUCACGAAAUAGCUGAUGGCCAAAACAGAGCAUCUCUCGUUAGAUUUCCACCAUAAAGUCUGAAUACACAUUUGCUUUUUUCAGGUACAACUAUUCCACUCUGCCAUUAGAGCAAUAUAUUCAAACAUGGAGAUUAAUCCCUGUGAUUUAAAAUAUUAUGGAGCAACCCUGAGCGAAUUAUUAAACAUAAUGAGUUCAUCUCUUUGUGAGGGUUAGCAUGUACAUGAUACAUAACAUGUCUGAUGAAGUGUCCAUCCAUAUAUAUAUAUAUAUAUAUAUAUAUAUAUAUAUAUAUAUA